GGGCAAUAUUUAGAUAUCAAGUGAGAUCAUGGAGCAAUGAAGGGGAAUAUUUAGAUAUCAGGUGAAGUAAUGGAGAAAUAGCAUCACUUGUUUUACAUCCAUUUUCCAUGCUGGCAAGGGUUGGACGGUUUGACAGGAGCUGACCAGCUGAAGAGCUGUCCGAGCUCCUUGUCUGUUUUGGCAUGGUUUCUACAGCUAGAUGCCUUUUCUGAUACCAACCACUUUAUAGAGUGGACUUUGUCUUCCUGCACAGCUGCUUUUAUAUGGCACUGACACGGGUGCUUUCAAGCCUUGCCAUGUCCUCAAUAGUCACAGCCCAUCUUACACUGCCAUGUAGUAUAAGUGUUCAUACACAGGCAUCAUGCAAUCUGCCUUUCACUCUGAGGGAGAGACCCUUUGUUACACAGAUAAUAGCUUACACAGGUAAUAGUUACAGAGGUAAUUGUUACAGGGGUAAUAGCUUUCUGAACUUCACCCAGCCUAUUUUUAUUCUAGCAGCUAUGCUUUCAGAACAACUUCCACCACUGGUAACCAGGUCACCUAAGUAACAGAAGCUGUCUACUACUUCCAAGGAUCCACCCCACCACUGAUAUUUGAGGGAGUCUAUAUCCUGUACAUUUCUGGUGCUUAAUGUACCAGUACAUCUGCCAUGUGUGAAGAGCUGCUUUCAACACCAUUUUACAUGGUUUAUAAAUCAGGACACACUUAUUAGUGAUGCUAGUGUCAUGUAACGGGCACCCAUGCCGGUGACAUGCAAAAAGCCAGUGGCACAUAAAAAGCACCCGUUAUACUCUUGGAGUGGUAGGCAUGAGGAAGGGCAUCCAGCCAUAGAAACCAUGCCAGAGCAGAUUGGGACCUGGUGUGACCCUACAGCUUACCAGUUUCAGCCAAACUGUCCAACCCAUGCCAGCAUGGAAAACAGAUGCUAAAUGAUGAUGAUGAUGAUGAUGAUGAUGAUGAUGAGCGUUCUUACAUGGUACUGGUCCAGGACUUUCACAGGCCAAUCCUCCUCAACAGGGCGAAUGGCCUUAACACUUUUGCGGUGGAGGACAGAUCUUUUUGAGUACAGCAAAGUGCCAGGUAUCCUGGUCCUUUGUCGUCUCAUCUGAAAUGUUCAGCAUCUUGAGGUCACCCAUCAGUACUUCAUCUGGCUCUCCCUCUUCCACGUGUUCCAUCUACUUUGAGGGAUCACCACUUCUUUAUGGAGCUGUCAGCAUCCAUCCACAUCACAUGAGCAAACCAGUGCAGUCUCCUCUCUUGCACACUACCUCUAAUUCCUCUUAUGCCUAAUUUCUCUUUCAUCAUCAUCAUCAUCAUCAAUAUUUUAAUUCCCGCAUUUCUGUGCUUGCAUAGGUCUGAGGCAAUUUGUUAGGGAGGAUUUUUAUGGCCAGAUACCCUUUCCCUCACCAACCCUCACCUGUUUACAAGUAAGUUAAUAUUCCUCCAUGGCCAGACAUGUUUUUGUGGAAGAUUGGAAACAAAGGAUACCACUUGCAAUUCUAUCUACAACUAUUAUGUAAUGUCAAGGCAAGAAGACAGUAAAACACACACACACACACACACACAUAAACACACUCACACAAAAAAACACACAAACACACACACACACACAAAUACAAACACACACACACAAACACAUAUAAACUGAAAAAACCCCGUCGUUUAUACAUACAUAUGUAAAUACAUACAUACAUGCGUACGUACAUACGUACAUAAGUACAUACGUACGUACAUGCAUGCAUGCAUAUAUAAACAAUGGGCUUCUUUCAGUUUCUGAAUACAAAACCCACUGACAAGCCUUUGGUUGGAUCAGAGCUAUAACAGAAGACACUUACACAAAGAGCCACACAGUGGGACUGAACCCCAAACCCUUUGGUUGAGAAGUAAAUUUCUUACUGCACAACCAUGCCUGUGCCUAUAUAUAUAUGUAUAUAUAUAUAUAUAUAUAUAUAUGCAUGUAUGUAUGUUUAUGGGUAACUUUGUGUUGACAUAUCAUGAUUGUUGUAAACAAGCAUCACCAGCAUACAAGCAACGUUAUUCAUUCAUUUCCAAUCUUUUGUGAGAAACAUGCCUAGACAUUGGGAAAUAUUACAUUGUUUGGAAAGAGAUGAGGGUUAGCAACAGGAAAGGCUUCCAGCCUCAAGAAUUCUGUUCAACCCAUGCAAGCACAGAAAAGUAGAUGUGAAAAACAAUGAUGAUGAUGAUGAUGAUGAUUUGUAAUAUGUUGAGGUACCUGAAGCUUGGAUUCCGACUAUAAAAUACUAUUUUAAAUUUUAGAUGCCAAAAUCCAGCACAAAGUCGCAGGGAAUUUAACAGAUGAAAAGGAAAAUGAAAAAGAAAGAAAAUAUUUUGUCUAAAGUCCAACCUAUUUUGAUGUUUUUUUUCCUUCUUUUCAAAAUAAAAUGUGAAAUUAAUGACAAAUA
rnacentral:lncRNA from 1 species